rnacentral:lncRNA from 10 species
CCAGCAUGGCACAUGUAUACAUAUGUAACUAACCUGUACAAUGUGCACAUGUACCCUAAAACUUAAAGUAUAAUAAAAAAAAAUAAAAAAAUAAAAAUACCUCUGAGGCAUGCCUGUGUAUGUAUGUGUAUACAUUUUAUAUAUGUAUAUACACAUACAUAUCUCCUGUUGGUUCUCUGGAGAACCCUGACUGAUACAAAGCAGAUGAAAGAGACACAUUGACUCUUCUAAGUGCUUUGAUGUGGGAGUGGACAUGUGUUACUUCUCAGUCUUCUGGCCAGAACUAGGUCUCACUUUCCUGCCAAGACAAGGGUAGAAAUUGAAGGGAGCCCAUGGACCCUUAGGGAGCACUGUCUCUACUACAUCUUCACUAGUAGAGUAAUUUUAACCAUCUUUUGGUCUGUUGAGGUAGUAUGAGAUGUAGAAAGGAGACUUUAUGGGAGCAGGGCUCUUCCUACUUCAGAACUCAUGCCACAGAGGCAGCUGCCUGCCUUGUGGCUAUAAGGCAAUAUAAUUCAGUGGAAUAAACCUGUUUUCAAACACUGGCUCUGCAACUUACUAGAUCUAUGGAUGAAUCAAGUAAAAUAACUUCUUUAAGCCUCAGUCUACAUUCUGAUAAUAUAAGAAUGAUGUUAUCUAACCUAUCACAUGCUUAAGAGGCUUAAAUGAGGUAAUUUGUAUGAAAUUUAGUAGGCUAAACUGAUAGUUAUUAAGCAAGCUUUGGUCUAGAACUCAUGAUUUUAACAGAAGGCAAUGUUAGCCAAAACCGAGUCUUCACGGUCUAGUGGGAUGGGAGAUCAGGUGCCUUGGGGAUGGCCUUUUCCAUGGUGUGUGGCAUCUCCAUGAGUCACUAGUGUCUUGCAUCAGAUGAAGUCUCCUGGCAUUUUCUAGUUUUACUUUUUGUUUCCAACAGGCAUGCACCCUUUUCCAUACACACCCACAUUAUGUUCGGCUCUCUAUAUCUACAGAUACAGAAGGACUUGAGCAUCCUUGGAUUUUGGUAUCCACGGGGCAUCCUGGAACCAAUCUACUGACCCUACCAAGGAGCAACUGUAUAGUCUAGCUUAUACCUGCAUCUCCAUGGUCUCCAGGAGUGUGGACAACAAGCCAUUCAUAAAGGUCCAUUCCAAGUGACAACAGUUCUCAUGGGGCCUUGAGCCAACUGUGGAGAGGAUAACAAAGGACUGGAUAGCAGGAGGACUGGGCAUGUUGGUCAAGGGAGUUCUGACCAUACUUGUCCUAGGCCUAAGGCCUUGGUAUUCUCUGAAAAUAGGAAGAAAGAAAGCAGGAGGAAAGAGUUGAAAAUGUUUAGGAAGACAAGCUAGCUUUGGAAACAUCGGAGAGGGGAAGGGGAAGCAACAAAAGAAGCUGGAACCAGGGAGCUGUCCCUAGUUCUUUGCCUAAGUUGACAUUCUUUCAAAUUCUUUUUAAAAAUAAAAGAAAAAGAGGAGAAAGGGUAAUGUUAUUGUACAAAAGCUACUGCUUUUAAUUCUCCCAUGGCAAGAGAGACAAAAGCAGGAAAUUCAUCCCUGGGUUUGGCCAAAUCUCAGAAAAGCACAUAAGAAGGAUAGCCUAAUUCCAAAGCGGCAUUAUAGAAAACAUCAGAAUGAAUGAAAUUUAAGCCUGAAUGCAAACAUCUGUGGAAUUUUUACUUGGGGGAAGGAGAAAGAAAGUGAGAUUAAGACCUACAGCAUCUGAAAGAACAGGUUAAUAGAAAUAAUAAGUAUUUACCACAGUUUCGUAACUCUAAUGGCACGCCCACAAGGCAAAGAUUUUCUGAAACAUCAACAUCCUUGAGAAACCACAAUGUUUACUCCGUGUUUAACCUGCACGUAAUGUACCCACGAGUGUUGUUUUUGCUUUCCCGACCUCUUUUCUCCCUCUUCUGCUAAAGAAACCCUCCUUCCUGUGAAAAUCCAUUCCAAGUGGUGCAGGCAGAGCUGCCCUGCCACCAGUCUGCCAAAACGGUGCAUUAGUGACCAAACCUGGCUUCUGGAGGUGCUUCAGUCCUCAGGCCAGGGUGGAUUGCUCAGAAAUGGGCACAUCACCCAAGUAGGGCCAAGCAGAGCCUGUGGUUUGACAUGUAGACUUUGGGAAGGGGCAGGGGGCUUUCUUCUUCUCUGAGAUCGUGAAAGUUGAGGACCAAAAACCUUGGAGAAGCUGGGAACUACUUUGUCAUUGCCUGGAGGGUGUCUGCUGAGAACAAAGACGAUGAAGAGGAAAAAAACAGACUCAGGAGAUGGAGUGAGACUCAGCUCUGGCUGACAGCUUUCCAAACAGGAGGCUGUGGUUUCUCAAUGUCUAAGGAAGUCCCUGAGUGACCAGCACCAAUAAGAAAGGGGUGCUGAAAUGGUGCAUGCCUCAGAGGGAAUGCCUUCUCCAUCAACCUCCUGAGAUAUGUCCUGGAAGACAAGAGCAUGGACCAAGAGCAGAGCCCACCAUGGAGCUCGCUGCUAUGAUAGGCAGGGUGCCCUGUGUCUGUCAGGAAUCAAAUCGUGUCUGCACUACCCUACAGACUUGUCCUCCUCUUCCUGGUUUUCAAAUGAGAGUUCUUCAUGAAAGUGCUCUUUGUGUAGAGGCCUCUCCGGAC